rnacentral:rRNA from 1 species
UGCAUAUCAAUAAGCGGAGGAAAAGAAACCAACAGGGAUUGCCUUAGUAGCGGCGAGUGAAGCGGCAAGAGCUCAAAUUUGAAAUCUGGUACUUUCAGUAUCCGAGUUGUAAUUUGAAGAAAGUUAUCUUGGAGUUGGCCCUUGUCUAUGUUCCUUGGAACAGGACGUCACAGAGGGUGAGAAUCCCGUGCGAUGGGGUGCCCAUUCUAUGUAAGAUACUUUCGACGAGUCGAGUUGUUUGGGAAUGCAGCUCUAAGUGGGUGGUAAAUUCCAUCUAAAGCUAAAUAUUGGCGAGAGACCGAUAGCGAACAAGUACAGUGAUGGAAAGAUGAAAAGAACUUUGAAAAGAGAGUGAAAAAGUACGUGAAAUUGUUGAAAGGGAAGGGUAUUUGAUCAGACUGAUAUUCAGUUAACACUGUUCCUUGUGGACGGUGCUCUAGCUUUUUAUUGGGCCAGCAUCAGUUUAGGUGGCAGGAUAAGAACUGUUGAACGUGGCUCUUCGGAGUGUUAUAGCUUCAGUUGAUACUGCCUAUCUAGACUGAGGUCUGCGGCUUUGCCUAGGAUGCUGGCGUAAUGGUCUAAUACCGCCCGUCUUGAAACACGGACC